UUUCGCCUGCCUGGUUCGUGAUGUGCGUUAAAUUGGGACCUACAAAUCGAUUAAAGGAGCCUGAAUCGUCCAUGGUUUGCAGACCUCCGGGAAUGGAUCCAUGCAGUGACUUGUCCUGCCCGUUUUCCGACGUUGGGAGCAGUAAAGUGGAGCUAAGGCACCGCCUUGCACAAGCAGGGUUCAACUUUCUCGCGCACACGGCCAGGCGGGUUUUUU
rnacentral:other from 1 species